UACGUAGGGUGCGAGCGUUGUCCGGAAUUACUGGGCGUAAAGCGUGCGCAGGCGGUUAUGCAAGACAGAUGUGAAAUCCCCGGGCUUAACCUGGGAACUGCAUUUGUGACUGCAUAGCUGGAGUGCGGCAGAGGGGGAUGGAAUUCCGCGUGUAGCAGUGAAAUGCGUAGAUAUGCGGAGGAACACCGAUGGCGAAGGCAGAUCUCUGGGCCGUUACUGACGCUGAGGAGCGAAAGCGUGGGGAGCGAACAGG
rnacentral:rRNA from 1 species